rnacentral:tRNA from 1 species
GGAUGUAGCACAGUGGUAUUGUGCUUGCCUAGCACGUUCGAGGCUCUGGGUUUGAUCCCCAACACCA